ACUGUCGUUGUAUGAACCUGAGAC
rnacentral:siRNA from 1 species